AUUGAACGCUGGCGGCAGGCCUAACACAUGCAAGUCGAACGAGUGGCGGACGGGUGAGUAAUGUCUGGGAAACUGCCUGAUGGAGGGGGAUAACUACUGGAAACGGUAGCUAAUACCGCAUACCAUCAGAUGUGCCCAGAUGGGAUUGGCUAGUUGGUGGGGUAACGGCUCACCAGGGCGACGAUCCCUAGCUGGUCUGAGAGGAUGACCGGCCAAACGGGAACUGAGCCACGGUCAAGACUCCUACGGGGGGAAGAAGAGGGGAAUAUUGGAAAAGGGGCGCAAGCCUGAUGCAGCAAUGCCGCGGGUAUGAGGAAGGCCUUCGGGUUGUAAAGUACUUUCAGCGGGGAGGCGUUACCCGAAGAAGAAGCACCGGCUAACUCCGUGCCAGCAGCCGCGGUAAUAC
rnacentral:rRNA from 1 species